rnacentral:rRNA from 1 species
UAGUGGCGAACGGGUGAGUAACACGUGGGCAAUCUGCCCUUCACUCUGGGACAAGCCCUGGAAACGGGGUCUAAUACCGGAUAACACCGGCUUCCGCAUGGGAGCUGGUUGAAAGCUCCGGCGGUGAAGGAUGAGCCCGCGGCCUAUCAGCUUGUUGGUGGGGUAAUGGCCUACCAAGGCGACGACGGGUAGCCGGCCUGAGAGGGCGACCGGCCACACUGGGACUGAGACACGGCCCAGACUCCUACGGGAGGCAGCAGUGGGGAAUAUUGCACAAUGGGCGAAAGCCUGAUGCAGCGACGCCGCGUGAGGGAUGACGGCCUUCGGGUUGUAAACCUCUUUCAGCAGGGAAGAAGCGAAAGUGACGGUACCUGCAGAAGAAGCGCCGGCUAACUACGUGCCAGCAGCCGCGGUAAUACGUAGGGCGCAAGCGUUGUCCGGAAUUAUUGGGCGUAAAGAGCUCGUAGGCGGCUUGUCACGUCGGGUGUGAAAGCCCGGGGCUUAACCCCGGGUCUGCAUCCGAUACGGGCAGGCUAGAGNGUGGUAGGGGAGAUCGGAAUUCCU